rnacentral:lncRNA from 1 species
AUUGCCACAGAUGCCAGCAGGACCGCAGAUCCGGGUUCCAGCCACUGCCACACAGACCAAAGUAGUGCCCCAGACAGUAAUGGCCACUGUGCCCGUCAAAGCGCAGACUACGGCAGCCACUGUGCAGCGGCCUGGACCCGGGCAGACAGGGCUCACGGUGACAAGUCUCCCUGCCACAGCCAGCCCUGUGAGUAAGCCAGCCACGAGUUCUCCUGGGACCUCUGCUCCCAGUGCCUCCACGGCUGCCGUCAUUCAAAAUGUCACAGGACAGAACAUCAUCAAGCAGGUAGGUGGGGCUCUUUCCACGUGGAUCUCAAUCCUUCAUCCUGGAGCAGGGACCACUGGAGCUGGAGGUUCUUGGCCAGACUGCAUGCCCAUGGGAAGAAGAUUUGUCAUCUUCGACUCUCAGCUUAUAGAUACUUAGGUGUGAGUUCCCACCAAAGGCAAAGGCAGUGCAGCUUUGAUAGAUGCUGAAGAGAUUUCUUCUGUUUCAUUCCGUUUAAUUCAGCAUUCAGUAGUCGAGUUUCUGGAUUUAGAAUAGACUGUUCAUGAGUUUAUUUAGUGAAAUUCCCAUGGCCACA